AUGUUGUAUGAAAGGAGAGAAGAUUAGCCUUCCCCUUGUUAAGGAUGGAAGGGUUCCUAGUGGCCUUACACAACACACAAAUGGUUAAGGCAUUGACAUCUACUUAGUGGCAUCUAACCAUGGUUAGGC